rnacentral:misc_RNA from 1 species
GUUCGAGCGUCAUUUCACCACUCCAGCCUCGCUGGGUUUUGGGCGCCGCCGCGUUGGCGCGCCCCAAUGUCUCCGGCUGAGCCGUCCGUCUCAAAGCGUUGUGGCAACUCAAUCCGCUUGAGGGACCGGACGGAUCGACGCCGUUAAACACCCCACACAAGGUUGACCUCGGAUCAGGUAGGGAUACCCGCUGAACUUAA